CGGGUGAGUAACGCGUGGGUAACCUGCCUCAUACAGGGGGAUAACGAUUGGAAACGAUUGCUAAUACCGCAUAAGCGCACAGUACCACAUGGUGCAGUGUGAAAAACUCCGGUGGUAUGAGAUGGACCCGCGUCUGAUUAGCUAGUUGGUGAGGUAACGGCCCACCAAGCCGACGAUCAGUAGCCGACCUGAGAGGGUGACCGGCCACAUUGGGACUGAGACACGGCCCAA
rnacentral:rRNA from 1 species